AUUGAACGCUGGCGGCAGGCCUAACACAUGCAAGUCGAACGGUAGCACAGAGAGCUUGCUCUUGGGUGACGAGUGGCGGACGGGUGAGUAAUGUCUGGGAAACUGCCCGAUGGAGGGGGAUAACUACUGGAAACGGUAGCUAAUACCGCAUAACGUCUUCGGACCAAAGUGGGGGACCUUCGGGCCUCACACCAUCGGAUGUGCCCAGAUGGGAUUAGCUAGUAGGUGGGGUAAAGGCUCACCUAGGCGACGAUCCCUAGCUGGUCUGAGAGGAUGACCAGCCACACUGGAACUGAGACACGGUCCAGACUCCUACGGGAGGCAGCAGUGGGGAAUAUUGCACAGUGGGCGCAAGCCUGAUGCAGCCAUGCCGCGUGUAUGAAGAAGGCCUUCGGGUUGUAAAGUACUUUCAGCGGGGAGGAAGGCGUUAAGGUUAAUAACCUUGGCGAUUGACGUUACACGCAGAAGAAGCACCGGCUAACUCCGUGCCAGCCGCCGCAGUAA
rnacentral:rRNA from 1 species